AUUGAACGCUGGCGGCAGGCCUAACACAUGCAAGUCGAACGAGUGGCGGACGGGUGAGUAAUGUCUGGGAAACUGCUCGAUGGAGGGGGAUAACUACUGGAAACGGUAGCUAAUACCGCAUACCAUCGGAUGUGCCCAGAUGGGAUUAGCUAGUAGGUGGGGUAAUGGCUCACCUAGGCGACGAUCCCUAGCUGGUCUGAGAGGAUGACCAGCCAUACUGGAACUGAGACACGGCCCAGACUCCUACGGGAGGCAGCAGUAGGGAAUAUUGGGCAAUGGGCGAAAGCCUGAUGCAGCCAUGCCGCGUGUGUGAAGAAGGCUUUCGGGUUGUAAAGUACUUUCGGCGGGGAGGCGUUACUCGCAGAAGAAGCACCGGCUAACUCCGUGCCAGCCGCCGCGGUAAUAC
rnacentral:rRNA from 1 species